rnacentral:lncRNA from 1 species
GGAUGUGGUCUGUUAGGUAAGGAUGCCUGAGGUAGUAAUUUGAACUGAACUCUAAAAGGUGACUAUCAAUUAUCUAGAAGAACAGGUGGUGUGAAGAGCCUUCAAGGGCCAGAGAACAGUCAGUAAGGAGAAUACGGUUGGUAAAAUAUUGAAGAGCAUCUGAAAAGGCAGUUUGGCUGGGACAGAGUAAGAGACGAGGUAGCACAGUUUAAGCUGGAGCCAAGCUAUCCAGAGAACUUCUUUGAAUGCAAAGAAGCCAACAUAACACAGAGACUGAGACUCUGAAGAAUGUGAUAUGGAGAUGGAAAAAUGGGGUAAGCCCUGGGCUGCAUGGUAGCAAUUUCUCUAGCAGACCCUAGCAGAAGAAUCCAUCUCACCCUUCUGAGAUUUAUGAAUCCAACUCCCAUCAGGCUAUCUCUGAGGACCUCCAUUUGAGAUUAUUGCACUAGAAUCAAAUGUGUGCAACAAGUUAGCUGGUUAGAAAGCCUGGUUAUGGUUUUAAUGACUGCUAUGCUGAGGUCCUGCCUUGUUAGUCUUUAUAUCAACACCAUGAGUAUCAAGGGAAAUGAAAGGGUGUGGUCAGUUGAAGAAAGGCAAUUAUUUGAAAUUGGUAUAGUACCAGGGCACAGAGAUGAAGAGUAUGUGGUGAAGAAUAAAAAUUGA